ensembl:lncRNA
GGGGGGGGGGGGGGGGGGGGGGGGGGGGGGGGGGGGGGGGGGGGGGGGGGGGGGGGGGGGGGGGGGGGGGGGGGGGGGGGGGGGGGGGGGGGGGGGGGGGGGGGGGGGGGGGGGGUGUGCGGGCUCUGCCCGGCCCCGCGCUGCCGGCGACCACGGAGCUCCCCGGUGACUGCCGAGGCGGCGGGAGAGGAAGCGGAGUUGCAUCUGUUUAGCUGCAGCUUGUAUCUUUUUGCACAUAGGCAAAGAUCACAGCUUUCUCAACAAAGACCCAAACUGAAAAUGGAGUAAAAAUUACUAUGAGAAGUUUGCUUUCUGGAAGGAAGUGAGUUUUCCUGCUCUACAGCUCCAAGUCCCAAUAUCGAUUUAUGUUUUCCAGUAUAGAUUUAUGUUUUCCAAUACAGUGUGCAUUUUAUAUCAAGUCUAUGCUUUUUCUGUUAUUUUUGGAAGAUUCUUCUGAUGAUUAUAUUCAACUGGUAAUGUAGCUUUGUAAAUUAAAGACUUCUUCUUGUUCAAUGCUUUGUUUUAUUCACUAAAAUCACAAUAUGAUUUUGCACAUUUUAAGGAAAAAAAGGUGACAUUUAAACCAAGCAUUCAAAAAUCAUAGUUUUACUGUUGCAACUGAUUAUUUUGUAGUAAAAAUUUGUGAGUACAUCUUUAUUUUUGUUUUUGAAACUGAAGUGCUAUUCACUCAUAUAUGCUAAUGUUUUCUUGAGGAAUGCCUUAAACUUAUAAAAACAAUUUGCCAUUGGAGAGUGUAAUUUUUUUUCACUUACACAUUCAUUCUGUGAAAGUAUCUAAGAGAAAUUGAAACACAGAAUCUUCUUGUAAGUUUCUUGUAUUCUAACUUGUUUAGCUUCUAGAUUUUGUAGGUACCUUUAAGUGAAUUGGAUUUUCUCAUGGCAUUUAGAUUAACAAUAAAAUUACUCAUCUUACUCACUGAAUUAUAUUCUUCUCUAAUUAUUUUAAUCUCUUAUAUAUCACUAUAAGAAGGACAGGCUUCCUUUUUUUUAAAAAAGAAAAUUGGCCUUCUGUGUCAUGUCAAUGCUUAUUAAAUACUACAAUCAUAAGAAUAUACUAGAUUUUAUAUUCUGAUUCCAUAGCCGUUAUAGGCUUAGUGUUUGCAGUACUUAUUUAAUGGUAAUGCAUUUCUUUUCCUAUUUUGCAUUUCAAAGGUCUUCUCUAAAUGAUUGUUUUGCAGAACUAUCAAGAGGUUAUCUAAAUUUUUCAAUCAAAUAUUACACAAUACCAUAAAGUGAUAGUCAUGGAGUUUCUUCCACUCCAUGUAUACUCUUUAUAUAGAAAGAACUAAAUAGAAAUCUGUAAGAAAACAACAAAUGUUUCAUUAAAUAAUUGAAUGUAUUAGGCUUGACUGAAUUUUAACCAAAGCAAAAAUUCGGGCUGUUCAAUACUGAGCUGAUGUGUUACAUGAUGUGAGAUUACAAAUUUUUUUAUUUGAAAACUACACAGUAGGUUCUUCAGGAAUAUACUCUUGUUGCUAUGGUGCAGCUUUCAUCAAGUUGUUGCAAAGCAAUUAUUUUCCAAGUUUUUUAUUUGAAAACUACACAGUAGGUUCUUCAGGAAUAUACUCUUGUUGCUAUGGUGCAGCUUUCAUCAAGUUGUUGCAAAGCAAUUAUUUUUUCUUUGGCAAUGCUUCUUUAUAAAACUAAAGACUGAGCUUUAAAAUAGCUAACAUAAAAAAAAAAGACGCUUGGGAAUUGAUUGUACUAGUUGCUUUUCAGAGAAGAAAUUGCAGGAAGACCUAAAUGAAUUAAAAAAAAAAGUUAUAAAAAUUUACAAUUGUUUGUUACAAUACACGGGGGGGGGGGGGGGGGG